GAGGGUAUAGCUCAGUGGUAGAGUGCUGGCUUAACAUGCAAGAGGCCAUGGGCGCAAUCCCCAGCACCUCCA
rfam:Camelus ferus unplaced genomic scaffold scaffold2848, whole genome shotgun sequence.